CGGUAGGGGAGCGUACUAAACGCGAAGAAGGUUGACCGGAAGGGCAGCUGGAGAGUUUAGCAGUGAGAAUGCCGGUGUGAGUAGCGAUAAGAUGGGUGAGAAUCCCAUCCGUCGGAAGCCUAAGGGUUCCAGGGGUAAGGCUCGUCCGCCCUGGGUAAGUCGGGACCUAAGGUGAGGCCGAAAGGCGUAGCCGAUGGAUAUCAGGUUGAUAAUCCUGGACCACCGUAGAGCUGAAGGAGUGACGGAGGAGGGAAGUUAGGAUGGACUGGUGGAAUAGUCUAAUGAAGCACAAAGAGGGAUACGUAGGAAAAGCCGCGUAUUGAAACCUUGAAGUGUAAACCGCAAGGCCUAAUGGACCACACUUCCAAGAAAAGCUUCUAGGAGUACUUUAUGGUGCCCGUACCGUAAACGGACACACGUAGGCGAGGAGAGAAUCCAAAGACGCGCGAGAUAAUUCUUGUUAAGGAACUCUGCAAAAUGACCCUGUAACUUCGGGAUAAAGGGGACUCUAGAGAUAGAGGCGCAGAAAAUAGGCCCAAGCGACUGUUUAACAAAAACAUAGGUUUCUGCUAAAGCGAAAGCUGAUGUAUAGGAGCUGACGCCUGCCCAGUGCUGGAAGGUUAAGAGGAGAUGUAAGUCGCAAGGCAAAGCAUUGAAUUGAAGCCCCAGUAAACGGCGGCCGUAACUAUAACGGUCCUAAGGUAGCGAAAUUCCUUGUCAGGUAAGUUCUGACCCGCACGAAAGGUGUAACGAUUUGGGCGCUGUCUCGGCAGCAGACUCGGUGAAAUCUUAGUACCUGUGAAAAUGCAGGUUACCCGCAACUAGACGGAAAGACCCCAUGGAGCUUUACUGCAGCCUGAUAUUGAAUUCUGGUCAUACAUGUACAGGAUAGGUGGGAGACAAAGAGACGUGCACGCCAGUGUACGAGGAGUCGACGUUGGGAUACCACUCUUGUGUGACCGGGGUUCUAACCUGGUAUCGAGAACAGGUACGGGGAGAGUGUCAGGUGGGCAGUUUGACUGGGGCGGUCGCCUCCCAAAGAGUAACGGAGGCGCCCAAAGGUACGCUCAGAUUGGAUGGAAACCAAUCGACGAGUGCAAUUGCAGAAGCGUGCUUGACUGUGAGACUUACAAGUCGAACAGGGACGAAAGUCGGGAAUAGUGAUCCGGCGGUGCCGAAUGGAAGGGCCGUCGCUCAACGGAUAAAAGCUACCCUGGGGAUAACAGGCUGAUCUCGCCCAAGAGUUCACAUCGACGGCGAGGUUUGGCACCUCGAUGUCGGCUCAUCGCAUCCUGGAGCUGGAUUCGGUUCCAAGGGUUGGGCUGUCCGCCCAUUAAAGCGGUACGCGAGCUGGGUUCAGAACGUCGUGAGACAGUUCGGUC
rnacentral:rRNA from 1 species